UGGGGAAUAUUGCACAAUGGGCGCAAGCCUGAUGCAGCUAUGCCGCGUGUAUGAAGAAGGCCUUCGGGUUGUAAAGUACUUUCAGCGGGGAGGAAGGGAGUAAAGUUAAUACCUUUGCUCAUUGACGUUACCCGCAGAAGAAGCACCGGCUAACUCCGUGCCAGCAGCCGCGGUAAUACGGAGGGUGCAAGCGUUAAUCGGAAUUACUGGGCGUAAAGCGCACGCAGGCGGUUUGUUAAGUCAGAUGUGAAAUCCCCGGGCUCAACCUGGGAACUGGAUCUGAUACUGGCAAGCUUGAGUCUCGUAGAGGGGGGUGGAAUUCCAGGUGUAGAGGUGAAAUGCGUAGAGAUCUGGAGGAAUACCGGUGGCGAAGGCGGCCCCCUGGACAAAAACUGACGCUCAGGUGCGAAAGCGUGGGGAGCAAACAGG
rnacentral:rRNA from 1 species